rnacentral:rRNA from 1 species
CUACGGGUGGCUGCAGUGGGGAAUUUUGGACAAUGGGCGCAAGCCUGAUCCAGCCAUUCCGCGUGAGUGAAGAAGGCCUUCGGGUUGUAAAGCUCUUUCGCAAGGGAAGAAAACUUAUCCUCUAACAUAGGGUGAGGUUGACGGUACCUUGAUAAGAAGCACCGGCUAACUACGUGCCAGCAGCCGCGGUAAUACGUAGGGUGCGAGCGUUAAUCGGAAUUACAGGGCGUAAAGCGUGCGCAGGCUGUUUUGUAAGUCAGAUGUGAAAUCCCCGAGCUCAACUUGGGAACUGCGUUUGAAACUACAAGACUAGAAUAUGUCAGAGGGGGGUAGAAUUCCAUGUGUAGCAGUGAGAUGCGUAGAGAUGUGGAGGAAUACCAAUGGCGAAGGCAGCCCCCUGGGAUAAUAUUGACGCUCAUGCACGAAAGCGUGGGGAGCAAACAGGAUUAGAUACCCCCGUAGUC